rnacentral:tmRNA from 1 species
GGGGAUGUACUUGGUUUCGACAUAAUACUAGAAGGAUAGAUAGCAAGUAGUGGAUUCUCGUUGGCCACUUAAAAAAACGGGAAACUAAAUAUAAACGCAGAAAAUAAUAAUGAGUAUGCUUUAGCUGCCUAAUUGCAGCUACGCUUUCCUAAAUGUUCCUACGCAUUUAGAUAAAGUGUCAUAUUAGUAGGAAACAAAGCUAUCUUUGCUUUGAAGGUAGUGGGUAUUUUAAAAGCUAUAUCUAACUUAAACCUGUUUAUUGGUGUGGGUUAGAUGAAUAUAAAUAAUAAACUAAACUUGUAGAAGUCUAUUUGGAAGGUAUUAUGGACAGGAGUUCGACUCUCCUCAUCUCCACCA